rnacentral:tRNA from 1 species
GCUGAGGUAGCCUAGCUCGGCCAAGGCGCCAGAUUCGAGAUCUGGUUCCGGGAAACUGGAACGGGAGUUCAAAUCUCCCCCUCAGCGCCU